AAUUGAUCUGGAUACAAACUUAAUGUCUUCCUAAAUGAAAACUCUCUUUUUUCAGUAACCAGUUUACCGUUACGGUGGAUCAUCUCAAGAAUGUGGCAGUCGCCAGGAACCCCCAGCUGGGAAACCUGAAAACCACCGUCUGGAUAUGGGAUUCAAGACACAUCAAGAUUCCCAAGUCAGAGAACCACACCUUUCAAAGAAAUUCCUACUCCACUAAAAUCAAGGGAAACACUGUGGUAAAGGUAGCAUGUUGUAAUCUGGAUGGUACUCCACAGCUAGUAUAUCAACUAAAGGGGAGUAUAAGUCCAAGAUGUGGAGAUGAGAGAAUCAUGCGUUUUUGUGUAAUGGAGGAGACACCAGGGAUGGGUGGAAUUAAAUCCAUCCUGGAAGCUACACCGGGUUAUUUUAAAUUUCAUCUGUUUGACAGAGGAUAUAAAGCUUUCAGGUUAAUGGAGUGGAUUUUUUUGGGUAUGUAUCGUAA